UACGUAGGGGGCAAGCGUUGUCCGGAUUUAUUGGGCGUAAAGAGCGUGUAGGCGGUUAUGCAGGUCCGCUGUGAAAACUGGAGGCUUAACCUCCAGACGUCGGUGGAAACCGUAUGACUAGAGUCCGGAAGAGGAGAGUGGAAUCCUGGUGUAGCGGUGAAAUGCGCAGAUAUCAGGAAGAACACCCGUGGCGAAGGCGGCUCCUCUGGGACGGUACUGGACGCUGAGA
rnacentral:rRNA from 1 species